AUGAUUACGAGCGUUACUCUCCUAAUUCUAGAAUAAAGAAAUUACUCACUCAUAAUGAGUUUAGCAAACAUAACAAAAGUAAAGUAAAAGAACAUAAAAGCAGCCUAAAGAAAUAGAACAAAAGAACCAAAGAGAAUUCUCUGUAGCCUUGAACUUGUGGGACUUCGAUUGAGGGCUCCUCUUUGAUGCUAAUGCACUGUUAUUCAAGAUGGCUUGAAGGGAAUGAUGAAGAUGUGUGUAUGAAGAUCGGUGAUCGGAUUCGGGGAUUCUUUCUCUGUUUUUUGCUGCUUCUAUUUAUAUUCAAUGUCCUAGGGUUAGGUUCUUAGAGUCCCAAAGUCAUCAGAAGUUCUGAGUGUAAAAACUGGUCUUGGCUAGUUACAUGGGUCCAAUUAUACAGCCCGUGUUCUGUUGAUCUUCUGAGAAUUCUUCAAACUUUGCUAGGCAGAAUCUUACACUGGUCUCCACAGGUUACACAGGUAGUGUUACACGACCCGUGUACUAUGCUUCCUCUUUGACUUCUUUGGUUUUCUCCUGGCAGCAAGUUACACGAAUCUAUGAUAUGUUUACACGACCCGUGUAAAGUGUAUUAGCAACACUUUUCUUUCCUUUGGUCUUUCUAAGCUUUCUUUUGCACUCCUAUGUUUUGGAACUUCAUCCAAACACCUG
rnacentral:misc_RNA from 1 species